CAAUAGAAAAUAGAAGAAGAAUACUAAUUGGACAUCUGCUAAGACACGACUUGGAAAGAGAAGGAGAGGAAGACCGACGAAAAAAUAUUUCAACCAAAUAAAAGAAAAGGUUCAGGUCGUGUCAUACCAGAAGGUUAAGGAGUUGGCAGAGGACCGGAUGUGUUGGAGAUUGCUCCACCGACAAGAACGCAGCUCUAAAAUAAGAAGAAGAA